rnacentral:lncRNA from 1 species
AUGCUUUGCCCUGGCCUCACCUCAGCUCGGUGGGUGGGGGUGGGAGAACCUCUCGCCGCCGCCGCCGCCGCCUCCUUCUCCUCCUCCUCCUCCCCAGUAGCGGCGGUUACUGACGGGCUGGGUGUGCAGCACGACUCCCUCCUCGCACAGCGCCCGGCCCCCGCCUGCCUGCCUGCCUGCCUCCCGCCCUCCUCCUCCUCCCGUUGCCGGCCCGAGCCGCGCUCGCUCGGCUCUGGGGGGACCCGCGAGCGGCCGCCGGCCUCCCCGCGGCAGCCACUAGGGGAGGAGGCAGCGCGCCUGCGCCGCCACCGCCGCUGCUGCUGCCGAUCUCGCCGCUGUUACCGCCGCGCUCGGGGGCGGCGAGGCCGAGAGGAGGCCUUGCGCCGGGGCGGGCUGAGCGGCUCGCAGGGCCGGCGGCGGGCUGCUGGCCGCCUCGUAGUGCGCAGAUGCUAAGCCAAGAUGAUGCAUCUUUCCACUUGCACCUGCAAAAAUGCACAAGAGACUUAUGACUGAGACAUAGCCUGAAGAAAGUUAAUGUGGUUGUUAGUAGUCUCUGUCACAAAUGGCAAGACUAUGGAUGGCUCUGGUCUUUUUCCUCAGACCUUGAUGAAACCUAGAAAGGACAGAAAGUUGAUUUUGCUAAAGGAGCAGCAGCUGUAAGGAAAAAAAAAAAAGAGAGAAAAAUCAAGCAAAAAAAAGCUUGAGGAAGCCAAGGACAAGAACUACAACUGGUUAUGACUAAUCUGUUACAAGCUUUAAUUUUCUUGUACCUUAGUGGAUCUUUUAACCUAAUUUAUAGAGUCUAUUCCUUUUUAAUUUCUUUUAAAAGUUAAGACUUCUUUCAUAAAGUACAGGGAGUACAUGAAGCUUGUAUACUUAGUUUAUUUUGUAUACUUAGCUUAGAAAUCUGUUAGCAUGUAGAGCAACGAUGCAGCAACGACAUUCAGAUUUUUGAUUAAAAAUAGGUUAGUAAAUCACAAGCAAUAAACCUGAAGUAUCUCACA